GAGGUCGCUCUUUGAUCAAUAUGCACAGUGCUCUCUACAGAAAGAGAUGGCUACUUUAGUCACAGACACUAGAGAUAGCAAGUUUGAUCACUCUAGAGAAGUUGGUUUCCUAUGUGUGACAGCAGCAGUGACGCCUUCUGGUGAAAGACUCUUCUGUCUUCUGAGCUGUCCCACAGCCAGUGGACCUGUUAGCAUGGAUCAUUGGAGCUGAAGCCCAUUUUGCAACAGGUUCAUCUGCACUUGCCUUGUGGGACUGGCUUGACUCCGGUGGAGGCUCCUGGCUGGCUUCAUG